CUGUAGCAUUGCCUGAGGUUGUUGUGGCUGAAGUGCAGGACCUGGCACUUGGUCUCAUUGAACCUCACCCUGCUGUCCUCAGCCCAGCCAUCCGGCCUGUCCAGAUCACUCUGUAAGGCAGAUCAACACUUCCUCCCAACUUGGUGUCAGCUGCAAACUUACUGAGGGUGCACCCAAUCUCCUCAUCCCAGUCAUCAGCAAAAUACAUUAAACAGGACAGGCUCCAGGUGACGUGACAUAAAUUAUGUGCAGGCACAAUCACUGUCAAAAGCCAGUAGCAUGGCACAGCGUGCGGGGCACAAACUUACAUUUGUAACACCUACACUUCACUCUGACCUUUUGCACAGACCUGCAGCAUUCUCAAGAGCACUGGAAAAUGCUACUUCAGUUAUGUGAUAUAGCUCUAAGUUACUGAAAUAUGGAAACUGCAUUUAUACCUUUCUUGUUGGCGCUAAGCCCAUCUAUUCCAAAUGAUGAGCAGGGCUAUUGCCCAAUGAAAAAAGAAAUAGAGCCAGAAGAGAGCUAUCGUUUGAAUCAGUAUUCUUCUAUUUUCAUCCUUCAAACUGUCAACAUCAGAAGACUAUGAUAAAAUAAGUCAUAUACUGCAGUAGUUUAACACGGUUUUAUAUUUAGGAUUUCACUGCUACUACAGUCUUGAGAUAAAAUACUGCUGAGCAGUUUCACUGGUGACAAUAUAUACUGAAACAGUCAAUGAAUCACCUUGCCUUCAAGUUUCAUUUAUGAACGGAUCUGCAUUAAAAACACUGAAUGUUAACAAGCAAAUAGGUGGGAUUUCAACUACAAAAGUCAUUUUUAAAAAGUCAUUUCCUGAGCUAGUAACUUUCAUUAAUAAAAAGAAAUACGCUAAGAUCUCUAGUAUUAAAAAAGAGGAAAAACUCCUGUAUCAUUUAGAGCUUACUACAGCACAUUCUCUUGACACACGGGAAAGGCAUGUGCAGUAAAAACCAUUCUUCUUCCCUGAUGCUGACAUUAAAGACUUCUCCCUAAAAUAUAUCUGAAUUUAAAUGCUUGGUUUGUGGUUGCACAUCCUACAGAAUUAUACUAAAUAAUAAAUGGCAAAGAAAUAUUCAAAGAGACAAGCUCACUAUUAACUCCACGUUUCUGUAGGAUACAGAAUAUGCACUAUUUAUUUUUCAUUUACAUCAUGCAUUUAAAAGUAAUGAGAUUACCAACUGACAAUCUCUGAUUUUGAAAAAAGUAAAACUACAGAGAACAGACAGGUGAAUAAUCAAAGAGUAACUGCUUUGAAAGCUGAGUGCAUUAGGAAGCAGUUCACGCUCCAUUACUAUUUCUGCUGAAACCUACCAUGGCCGCUUUGCUGCACUUCAGGUUUUGAGGAAGCUCAAGUUCAAUAAUAAACAAGCUUGUCCCAUAUGAUAUUUGUGAAUGAACCCUUUUAACAGCUAUGAAGUGAUACGCAAGCAUCAGCCAACCACACAAGCACAAAUUAUAGUUUAGUAUUUUGAUGGCUAAAAUUUAAUCGUCCUACUCUAGUUUUAUUUGCUCAUCACCAUGCAUUGAACCACACAGCAUCUACUUUAUUUAAACUCAAAGGUCCAACACAUCAAGUGUAAACUAACGUGAAAUCUGCAGAAACAAAGCUAGAAACAGGCCUUGAGAACUUGCCUAUCCUAUUUUCCCUGUCCAAAGCAGGACCAACUGCAUUUCUCUUGCUUUCAGGGGGUAUCUGUCAAAUCUUUACUCACAGUCCUCCAAUAGACUAAACUCCAAAGCAUCCUGAGAUGACUUCUUCCAUUAUUUAAUCAUCUUUAUCACCAGAAAGUUCUAAGAACUUACCUGUAUUUUUCUUGCUACAAUCUAAUCCACCACUUCACAUUCUUUGUGGCCAUGCUGACUUGGACAAGAUAUCCCUCUUUGCCCUGCAGUACUCUAAAAUAUUUGAAAACUAUCUAAACUAAUAUCAAACAUAACAACCUACCGUUAAAGGAAUUCAUCAUUUAGUGGAUCAAUUUCUCUUCAUUCUAGGUCAUUUGCACUGUUCUUUGGAUUGCCUCCAUUUUGUCCACAUCCUUCUUCAAGAGUGUGUUGAAACUCCUAUUUUUCAGCUGAAACAAGUAGCAGCCAAUUUUUAAUCCAGCACUGAAUUACUUCUCAGCCACAUUCAGUCUUCAGGAACUUUCAAACAGUAACAGCCAACCAUCUAUAUUGCCAAGGUUUAACAGUACAACUCACCAAGGGGCUUUUGAGUAAUGAAAAUUUGAGAACUUGAGAAAGAGAAUCACAACAUCAAGCAGCUCCAUGUGCACCAACUACAUCUGGUGUUUCACAGAGCAGGUAUAUGGUAUCUAUGUACACUUUUGCAGCAGUGUUACUUGGAAAUAUGCAAUGAUCAAUUCGCUACUGCAGAGCAGAGUGCACUAUCACCUAGGUCCUUGCUACCUUUCUAACUUAGACUUCCCUCUCUAUAUUUCCUUGCCUGUCCAUUUUAUUCUUGGUUUAACUUCUGACCUGGUGACUAUUUCAAAACUCAUGACUGCAGUGAAAUAGUGGCCAUCAGGAGCUGAUGACAAGCGAUUUAGCAUGAUCCACUGCCUGGCUUCUGCCAAUUGGCCGGCAGAGUCCAAGAAGCAAUUCUUGCACAGACUCCUUUCAUUCAACAUCUUCUCAAACAGAAAUCAAAACAAAGCCAAACUGUUCUCUGAACCAACUAGAGUUUUUAAAUCAUCACCACCAUAAUCCCAAUUAGUUAAUGUCAGAGUAUUUGUUUGUCAGUAAUACUUAAGUUAAUGUUGAUCUUGCAUCUAAAGGCACACAUGCUGCAAAUUUCACCAUACAAAGUCUAUGCCAUUGUUUAAAUCACCUAUAAAAAUAAUAAAUAGCAUUAAACAAACGCAGUUGUCUUUAUCAGACAGGC